rnacentral:rRNA from 1 species
GUUGAACGCUGGCGGGAGGCCUAAUACAUGCAAGUCGAGCGCAGGUAAUGCUGCGCGGCGAACGGCUGAGUAACACGUUGGUACCUGCCCCAAAUUCAGGGAUAACCACCGGAAACGGUGAAUAAUACCGGAUAGCCAGAAAUGGUAAAAGUAAUGAUUUGGGAGGGGCCUGCGGCGUAUCAGGUAGUUGGUGUGGUAACGGCACACCAAGCCAAUGACGCGUACCGGGUGUGAGAGCAUGACCCGGCAGAGUGGGACUGAGACACGGCCCACACUUCUACGGAAGGCAGCAGUAAGGAAUCUUCCACAAUGGGCGAAAGCCUGAUGGAGCCAUCCCGCGUGCCUGAUGACACCCUUCGGGGCGUAAAAGGCUUUUCUGAGGGAAGAAAUUUUGACGGUACCUCAGGAAUAAGUGACGGCUAACUCCG